rnacentral:lncRNA from 1 species
AAUUUCUUUCCAGGCUGUAGCGGUGCUCAGCCUCAGUUCCUUCCCCUGGCUGAGCCUUAGGGGCCGCUCCCACCGGCUCCACGUGGUGUCACUCUCGAACUGUCCUGCGCGGGCAGCACAGCUUUCGCCCGGCCAUCCGCCGCCUCCAUCGCUUCCCUUGCAAACAAAGUUCUCCUGGUAACAGAGUGUCUUCAUUUGGGGCUACUCAAACAGUGUUGGACGAACUUUAUCCCCGGAGUAAUUUCACUGGAGUGCAUGUGGCUGCAUGGGGGUUCUUGUAGUCCAGUGUAGGACUUUGACUAUGGACUCUUACCGUGUUCAUGCUUGAUUUUUAGGUUAUAGAGAAAAUUGUGUAAUGUCUUCUGUAAUGUAAAUAACAUGCAGUGAGUAUAUAUCAUCAUGGAUUGCUUGUUGUGAAAUGGAAGACUUUGUAACAUACGGUCAGAGCUCCACAAAGGAAAAGAGUAAAAUGAAAACGGAAACAGCAACAAUUUGAUUAUGGAAACAAUGCCAAUUUGUAAAUGAAAAUCUUUGAUUUUUUUUCCUUUGUUUUUGUUUUUUGUUCCCUGAAUCCUAAUGUACAUGCUAAGUAGAUCUGUGAAGACCUGCAGCUAAAUCAAAAACUCACACAAGCCAAGGACCUGGCUAUUAUCCAUGAGCAAAAAUACUACCCAAGCUGUUAAGCCUGACUGCCCAAUUACCACCAAAAAAAAAAAAAAAAAAAAACCCCCCCCCCCCAAAAAAAAAAAAAAAAGGAAUUCUAUGUAAAGAUAUAUAAAUAUACAUAAAUUCAAUAAUUCAAUGUGGCCAUGAGGAAACCGGGAAGCCAAGGCAAAGCUUGUAACUCAUCAGGACUCAAAUUAAAUUUUAAACCAAGUCUCAGUUCUGUAAAUUAA